ACAAGUAAUUUUUUGGGGCUAUAUAGCUUGCUGUUCAGUGUGAGCCCGGGCUCUGGGUUGAAGGCUGUACUUUGACCUAUAAUGGUUUACUUUAAUAAAUUGUUACUUGGAUUGAGAAUUGUCUCAUUGGCACUCAUACCACAUCUUCAUAUAUCUAAGUUUACACUAGGUUAGCUAUUUGCUGGACUUUUAAAUAAUCAGUCAGAUGUAAAGUUGUUUUAAUAGUUUCAAUUACAUGUACAAUGAACAAAAAUGC
rnacentral:lncRNA from 1 species